AAUGAGUGUCCAGGGAGCUGCAAGGAUCUACAGAAAGCACAACAACGUGGGUGGAAGCUGGGGCCAAAACUAGGGGAAAAGGGGGCCACUGCCACCAUGUGGCCACUCUCUCUUUAGCUGGAAAAAAAUCGAUGACUCCAAACUUUAAACAGCUUAAAGAAGUCGUCUCUCUUAAUAGGAGACAAGGCCGGAGAUGUUAAAUCGAUCGGCUCAAAUGUCUGCUCCGAAAUCCCUGAAGAGAAAAGCCCGGCGGUGCUGUUGCCUGGGCUGGGGUCCUGACCUGUGAAGAGAGAUCUGAGAAAGAAAGCCUUCGUCUUUCACUGCUUCCCAACAAUGAUGCUACACAGCCACCUGCUUAAGACUCCCACCAGCACGUGCGCCUUCCAGGCCGAGAGGAGCUGCGUCCUCGAACUCUUCACAGAGUAUUGCAGCUUCCUGUGUCAGAGGAUCAAACAUUCAUGCAACAGAAAGCAGUUGAUCUGCACACCUAAGGGUUGAUGCUGGAUCCUCACCUCUCUGUGCUGGCAUCAUGAAAGAGGAUGGUAUCAAUGGGGUAUAGCUGCUUUCAUUCUGGGUUCCAGAAUGAAGAUCACAUGGGACAGGAACUCCUCUGAGCAGACUUGGUGACAAAUAGUCCUUAAUGUAGCUAAUACAAUUUGGAGGCAAUUCAUAAGUUACUUUCUGACUUGGGCAGCAUCAUGUCCACUCCUUACAGUAAGUUAUAGUUCUUGUAAAUGGACUAAA